AAUGCCCUAAAAAUGAAACAGACAUCAAUGGUAAGUACAGUAAGAGAGCCCUAGCUGAUUCUACUUAGAUCCAUGUUCUUUCCCCUACACCCAGAUUUGAAUAUUGCCAUAAGAUUGUAAAUUAACAGGAGGACCAAGCAGAGGACUCGGUGGCUCCCACCAAGCACCUAUCUGGCCUGACACCAAGGCCAGAAUGGAAGAGCAAAACACAAAGGGCCAAACUUCAGGAGAGAAACACGCUGUGCAACUAGCCAAUGCCACCCAGAAAACAGGCCUUACCUGGAUCCUGCCAGGAACAAGGUUGUCCGAGGUGGUGAAGAUGAGCUGCUUGGCACUGGAUGUCUCCGGAGAAGCCAGGAUCACCUUCCCAGUUCCAGCUCCAUCUGGGCUGGUCAGGAUGAACUGCUGUUUGGAGGAUCCAGAGGUGUCCACUGCGGUGACUAUCUGGAUCUUCUGUCCUGUCUGCUGGUCUGUUACAAUCUACAGAAUACAACAUAGAAGCCCCUUUGCAUGGUGUGUCUUCAGAGCUGUGUACUUGCAGGCACCACCGCUAGAAUCAAUACUGGUCUAAGAUAUAUUUCACCAGUUGUGAUGGCUAAUCUUCACUGUCAACUUGAUGAGAUUUCGAAACACUAUGGAAACAAACCUCUGGGUGUCUAUGGGAGUCUUUCCAGAAAGAUUCAACUAUUCAGGGAAGACCCACUCUGAAUGUGAAUAGUACCAUUCCAUGAACCCGGGACUGAAUAGAAUGAAAAGGAGAAAAUGGGCUGAACACCAGCAAUCAAUCUGUUCUACUUCCUGACUGUGGAUGAAAUGUGACCAGCCAUCUUAUUUUUCUGUUGCCAUAAUUUUUCUACCAUGAUGACUGUACCCCAAAUCUGUAAACCAAAAUAAAAGCCCUUCUUUUUGUAAAUUUAA